rnacentral:rRNA from 1 species
AUUGUACGCUGGCUGCAGGCCUAACACAUGCUAGUCGUGCGGAUGAAUUUCGCUUGCUCCUGGAUUCAGCGUCGGACGGGUGAGUAAUGCCUAUGAAUCUGCCUGGUAGUGGGGUAUAACGUCCGGAAACGGGCGCUAAUACCGCAUACGUCCUGAGGGAGAAAGUGGGGGAUCUUCGGACCUCACGCUAUCAGAUGAGCCUAGGUCGGAUUAGCUAGUUGGUGGGGUAAAGGCCUACCAAGGCGACGAUCCGUAACUGGUCUGAGAGGAUGAUCAGUCACACUGGAACUGAGACACGGUCCAGACUCCUACGGGAGGCAGCAGCGGGGAAUAGUGGACAAUGGGCGAAAACCUGAUCCAGCCAUGCCGCGUGUGUGAAGAAGGUCUUCGGAUUGUAAAGCACUUUAAGUUGGGAGGAAGGGCAGUAAGUUAAUACCUUGCUGUUUUGACGUUACCAACAGAAUAAGCACCGGCUAACUUCGUG